ACCUUCUGCAUUAACAGAACACUGCUAUAAUUGUGUGAUCCAGAUGUAAUCUGUUUCAUGCAAUAAUGCUAGCAGAGUAUUGCGUGGAAGAAGAUUGUUAGCCACUGUAUUGAAAAUGAGAUGUGGUGGAACCUCUUUCUUAAUGUUCAGUGGCCUCUGUCUCAAGGUGCAGUGCAACACUU